ACGCGGCGAGGGCGGGGCCAAGGGCCGGGACGGUCGCUGCUGCUGCCGCCGCCGCUGCCGCCGCGCCUCGGCCGGGAAGCGAUGUAGGAGCCGUCAGGCCGUCCCCAGUCCUGCCCGGCCCGAGCCCCGCGGGCCGCCGCCGCCGUCGCCACCAUGAAGAAGCAGUUCAACCGCAUGAAGCAGCUGGCCAACCAGACCGUGGGCAGAGCUGAGAAAACAGAAGUCCUCAGUGAAGAUCUGUUACAGAUUGAGCGGCGCCUGGACACCGUGCGCUCCAUGUGCCACCAUUCCCACAAGCGCCUGAUGGCCUGCUUCCAGGGCCAGCACGGCACCGACGCCGAGAGGAGACACAAAAAACUGCCUCUGACAGCUCUUGCUCAGAAUAUGCAAGAAGCAUCAACUCAGCUGGAAGACUCUCUCCUGGGGAAGAUGCUGGAGACGUGUGGGGAUGCUGAGAAUCAGCUGGCUCUGGAACUCUCUCAGCACGAAGUCUUUGUCGAGAAGGAGAUUGUGGACCCUCUGUACGGCAUCGCUGAGGUGGAGAUUCCCAACAUCCAGAAACAGAGGAAGCAGCUCGCCAAAUUGGUGUUAGACUGGGACUCGGUCAGAGCUAGGUGGAACCAGGCUCACAAAUCUUCAGCAACCAACUUUCAGGGUCUUCCCUCCAAAAUAGAUACCCUCAAGGAGGAGAUGGAUGAAGCUGGAAAUAAAGUCGAACAGUGCAAGGAUCAACUUGCAGCAGAUAUGUACAACUUUAUGGCCAAAGAAGGGGAGUAUGGCAAAUUCUUUGUUACGUUAUUAGAAGCCCAAGCAGAUUACCAUAGAAAAGCAUUAGCAGUCUUAGAAAAGGCCCUUCCCGAAUUGCGAGCCCAUCAAGAUAAGUGGGCGGAAAAGCCUGCCUUUGGGACGCCUUUGGAGGAACACCUGAAGCGGAGCGGGCGUGAGAUCGCGCUGCCCAUCGAGGCCUGUGUCAUGCUGCUUCUGGAGACAGGGAUGAAGGAGGAGGGCCUUUUCCGGAUUGGAGCUGGGGCCUCCAAGUUAAAGAAACUGAAGGCUGCUUUAGACUGUUCUACUUCUCACCUGGAUGAGUUCUACUCGGACCCCCACGCGGUAGCAGGUGCUUUAAAGUCCUAUUUACGGGAACUGCCUGAACCUUUGAUGACUUUUAAUCUGUAUGAAGAAUGGACGCAAGUUGCCAGUGUACAGGAUCAAGAUAAAAAGCUUCAGGAUUUAUGGAGAACAUGUCAGAAGUUGCCACCACACAAUUUUGUUAACUUUAGGUAUUUAAUCAAGUUCCUUGCAAAGCUCGCUCAGACCAGCGACAUUAACAAAAUGACUCCCAGCAACAUCGCAAUCGUGUUGGGCCCUAACUUGUUAUGGGCCAAAAACGAAGGAACGCUAGCGGAAAUGGCAGCAGCCACAUCUGUCCACGUGGUUGCGGUCAUUGAACCCAUCAUUCAGCAUGCCAACUGGUUCUUCCCCGAAGAAGUGGAAUUUAACGUAUCAGAAGCCUUCGUCCCUCUUGCCACCCCCACUUCCAAUCACUCUUCUCACACUGGAAUUGACUCUGUUGACUCGGGGACCCUGGAGAGGAAGCGGCCCGCCAGUAUGGCGGUGAUGGAGGGGGACCUGGUGAAGAAGGAGAGUCCUCCAAAGCCCAAGGACUCUGCGACUGCACCUGCACCCGGGAGAAACAGCAGUCAGGCGGCCACUGGGCAAAGCCAGGCCCAGGCAGCUGCUGGCUCGCAUCAGCUCUCCGUGGGUCCCGCACACAAUUCCGCUGGCCCGAGCCCACACACGCUGCGCCGAGCUGUGAAAAAACCUGCUCCCGCACCCCCGAAACCAGGAAACCCGCCUCCUGGCCAUCCCGGGGCCCAGAGUUCUCCAGGGACAUCUCAGCAUCCGCCCAGCCUGUCACCAAAGCCGUCCACCCGCAGCCCUUCUCCUCCCACCCAGCCCCCGGGCCAGGCCCCAGGCCAGCCCGGCGCCACCUCGCAGCUCUCCGCACCCCGGAGGUACUCCAGCAGCCUGCCUCCGAUCCAAGCCCCCAACCACCCCCCGCCGCAGCCCCCCACGCAGGCCACGCCGCCGCCGGCGCUCGCUAAGCCUGGCAGCCAGGGCCCCGCUGCCCCCGUGGCCCUGCCCGGCGAGCACGGACUGGAGCAGCUGUCGCACACCCCUCCCCAGACGCCCACGCCCCCCAGUACUCCACCCCUAGGAAAACAGAACCCCGGCGGCCCUCCUGCUGCUCCGACCCAGGCGGGGAGUAACACCGAGAGCGCGCAGCCACACGCCGGAACCUUGCCGAGACCGAGACCGGUCCCCAAGCCGAGGAACCGGCCCAGCAUGCCCCCGCCCCCUCAUCCUCCGGGCGCCCACCCGACGGCGGCGGAUGGCAGCCUCAGCAUCGCCGCUCCCACCGCCUCCAAAAUCGUCACCGGUAAGUGGGAAACUAGCGCCGACCGACAUGCACCCCUUCUCCAACCCCCGUCCCCUCUACCUUGCUUAUUACUACUGCCUCCCUUCGUUUUAGGCUUUGAUUUUCAUCAGGGGGGCGUCAGAUCACGGCUCCGGGCCACAUCUGGCCCCCAGCUUGGUUGGGUAAAUAAAGUUCUACUGCCCGCCCCCCGCCACACCCAUUUGUUGACAUGUUAUUUCUGGCUGCUCUUGUGCCCCAGUCGGGGAGCUGUGGAGAGCUUUCACGGCUCGUAGGCCCACAGAACCUUCAGAAUUACUACCACGUAGCCCUGGAAGUUUGCCAACCCCUGAUUUGUAGGUUCAGUAUGUGUUUUAAGAGCCGUUUGCGUUUUACAGUUUUCUAGGUCUAAGGAGCGAAUCCAGGUGGAAGGUAUUGUGCCGCUUGAGCCUGACAUCCAUUUCCUAGUGAAUUCCUCGUUAAAAUGCCUAUUUUCCUUUUAAGAAUAAAAAUACUCAUAAGGAAUGGAGUAUUUUAGGCAUAAUCCUAAAAAACAUGACUUAUGCCAAGUGGAAUGCUCUGGGAAGGGAGAUUUGGCGCAUGAUCCUAUGAGUGGCAAAGGACAGCCGAAUCAAGAUUUUCCCACAAUUCCCUGGAAACCUGUUUUGGGUGUUGGUGAUGGUACAGAUUUUACUUAACCUCAUGGGCUAUUUUUUUAACAGGCAGUCUAGAACAUGACUAUUUUAUUUAAUUAUGAUUUUUUUUUUAAAAUUUCCAUCCCAAGUGCUCUAAUUUACUAUUUGAUUUAAGGAUGAGAUGGAUGGAUUUUUUUAAUAUAUUUUUUAAGUGGUAAUUAGGCGCUUUGAAUCAUUUCUUACAAGAGCCUAGUUUAAAAUUCUUCUGAGUAGAGCUGUUUUUAGAGAAGAAGCUGAAAUGUACCUCUGGGCCCUCCAACCAUCCUGAGUGACUUCUCUGCUGAAAAUAAGCAAAGGGUCCAUCCCAAACUGGUACCCUACAUGAUGAAGGUUAACCAACUCGCCUCUCUUUUGAUAACUUUUUUUUUUUUAGGAAUGUAAUGCGUGAUUUGCAUGUGUUAAAUUUUUUUUUUUCUGAUGAUACCUCAGCUUUUAUUUUUAAAAAACAAAGCCACGUUUGUUUGUUUGUUUCCCAAUAGAUGUCCUUUCUAGCGCCCUCACAGGUGGGGAAGGUUUCCAGGAGUAAGGUCUGUAACCCACACCCACCCCCUUCCCCCCACCCCAAGCAGCUUGUCCGCAGCUCCAAAUGCUCCUGCUUAGCCGUGUUUUGCAUACGUGCUUUUGACUUUGUGCUCAGGAGCAGCCAUCUGACCCCCUGCCAUCCGUCCUCUAGCGUGUAGCCGUUACUUUUGUUUUUAUCAGAAACACUUGGAGCUGCAAUGCUCCAACUUCAAGAGGUAGAUGUUAGUAGAUAGCCCGAUGUCAAGCUGCUCAGAUAAGAUACUAAGAAAUGUCUCCUUUCUUUUUGGUAAGCCUCUCACCAGCAUUCUGCUCUUCUCAGCGUGAUUUCCCUGUCAUUGAUCAGCUCAUCAGCAUCCAACCAAAGAGAACACGGGAGCAGUUAGCACGGAAAAUUGUGUCCCUCGUGUCUUGAGCUUUCAUUUUUAAUUUUACAUCUCAAGUGCAAGUUAACUGCAUGGAGCUUCUUAAUUUGAUGUUUGAAAUUCUCAGGACCGGGAAAAAAAAAAAACAAUCUCCCUCCAAAGAUCCCACACUAAAUUUCUCUGCAUUCUGGCAUGCUUACAUUUUGCUUUCUUAAACCAUAUGAGCUUUUUAGAAGGUACGGUGAGUCUUGCCUCUAAGUCCAUGUUUGGACAGCAUGAGGCUCUCGUUAUGUGUACAGCUGCUUUAGUCAGCUGAUCUGAACCUUAAGCCAUCCGUGGGCUACUUAGCCAGAGUUUUCACAGCUUUGGUCUGAGGAAGACUUUCUGUAGAAACCCGAAGAGGAAAACGAGGAUGUGAUCUUUACAACCCAGAGGAGGGCACCGGUGUGGUUCCGACUCCUAGGGAUGAACCGCAAAGUCUGGGGCUACCCACUUGGGUUUGGAAGUCACUUACAGAGUGAAAUGACUAAACCCUACUUAAGGCUGAGCCUUGUAACACUUGACAACUUGGGACAUAUCAGAAUUUUAUCCCCAGAUCUCCCCUUUUAUUUAGAUGAGAGACUGUGAGCCAGCAUUCUGUCUGCUCUUUCAUACCACCGUUACACGGGGUGUAUUUAUUCCAGAAGCUUAUUUUAUUGAUCUGCUAUCACACCGUAAUGCUCUAUGUUUUACAGUUGUCAGAUAAGUGAGAUUUUGUAUUACAGAUACGUUUUCUUAGGAUACUAGCUAAAUAUUUUAAAACCAGUCUAUACUUUUAAGUUCUCCUAACUCAAGACAUUCCAGGUCACCACAAUUAUUUUUGUAACACAGAAUUACCUUGUGAUUUCUUCAAGUCCCCUGGGUUGCCAUUCGAAGCACACAAAAGGCCGGCAUUUAGAAUUUAGGAACCCUUUUGUGUUGCUCAUGCCGUUAAUAACCAAUCUGGAUAUAGCCGUUGGGUUAUUUCAAGACGGAAAAAAAGUAACUUCCUCUGGAGUUCCCGUCGUGGCGCAGUGGUUAACGAAUCCGACUAGGAACCAUGAGGCUGCGGGUUCGGUCCCUGCCCUUGCUCAGUGGGUUAACGAUCCGGCGUUGCCGUGAGCUGUGGUGUAGGUUGCAGACGCGGCUCGGAUCCCGUGUUGCUGUGGCUCUGGUGUAGGCCAGAGGAUACAGCUCCGAUUUGACCCCUAGCCUGGGAACCUCUAUGCCUUGGGAGCGGCCCAAGAAAUAGCAAAAAGACAAAAAUAAAUAAAUAAUAAAACUGUUAAAAAAAAAAAAAGUAACUUCCUCGGACAGGUAGUCCUUUACUAUGAUAUCAUGUCUUCAACUUGGAAAACUCUAGACAGAUUCCUGAAAACAGGUUCUUCGUUGAGAGCAUCUGCUCUUAAACAUUGAAUGAAGGCCUGGGGCUUAAGAUAAGCUCUUGGGGGAGAUGAGUGCUGCCAGACAGGUUCCGACAGCCAAUUUCUGGCAGCCCGGCACCAGCUGAUACCAGAGAAAGGAGGUAUGCUGCUGUCAUUUUGAAUCCCUUCUUGGUCGUUCCUCUAAGAAAGCCAGGAGGGUUUUAGCUUUGCAAGGGAAAGAGUUCAUAUCGUGCUGUUUUAAACGUCAUCGGUGUUAGCCCAGAGUGUUCUAAUUGAAACGUUUUAUUAAAUAAUUUAGAUGUAUGACCUGCCAUAUUCAGUAAGAAACUGAGAUUGGAAUAUUUAAUGACGCCAAUCCCAGGGCUUCAGAACCGCUUCGCAGCCUAUUUCCCGAAAUGCACUCAGACUCAGCCAGCAAAGACCUGCCCGGCCGCAUUCUGUUGGACAUGGACAAUGAUACAGAAAGUACCGCCCUGUGAAGAAAGCCACCCCGCCCCCGCCCCUGGACCCCUUCCACCCUGGCGAGUGGAACAGGGGCCAGGCAGACAUUCAUCUUCACAGACCCAACAGCGAGAAGCUUUCAGUGGAAGGAAAAAGAAGGCCUCCCCAGCCCUGCAGGACCCGGCCUCCUUCCCAGCCCCAGGAGAGCAGGGAGGCUGACACUUAAAGCUGAAUGACCUGUGUCUUGAAGAAGUCGGCUUUCUUUACAUGGGAAAGAAUCAUGCCAAAAGAAAGAAAGCAAGAAAGAAUUUUUUUUGAAAAGAGAAAGCAAAAAAGAAUUACCUGCAGCAGAAAGCGCAUCCCGUGUAGGAAGCUUGUGUCGCUGCUGUGAAUGCCGGCAGCAGCCUCAGCAAAUUGGAAUGAAGGAAAAGCCAUGCGCUGAGCACCUGUUUCAUCAAAUGCAUUCAUUACACGAGUCACCUAAACUUCCCGCUCCGUGGACUUUUCAUGCUCCUGUACCUUCAAGGGAGGCUGCUCUCCCUCAGACCCGCUGCAGAAUCAUUUCGUACGACGUGUGGGCUGCGUCUCCCCCUCAGAACCACGAGCAUCGGUGGUGACCGCUGGAUCCGUCACCUCAGCAAACGAGAUCGCCCUGUGCCUUGUCAGAUUGCCAGAAUGAAGAGAGAAAUGUACUGUGUUUGUUUGUUUGUUCGUUUUCCAAACCAUGUAAUUGCUACUUGAUAAGGACCGAACAUUAUUCUAGUCUCAUGUUUAAUUUGAAUUAAAUAUAUUCUGUGGUUUAUAUGAAA